rnacentral:rRNA from 1 species
CACGUAGGGCGCAAGCGUUGUCCGGAAUUAUUGGGCGUAAAGAGCUCGUAGGCGGUCUGUUGCGUCCGCUGUGAAAACUCGGGGCUUAACCCCGAGCCUGCAGUGGAUACGGGCAGACUAGAGGUAGGUAGGGGAGAAUGGAAUUCCCGGUGUAGCGGUGAAAUGCGCAGAUAUCGGGAGGAACACCGGUGGCGAAGGCGGCAUCCUGGACCGGCAUUGACGCUGAGGCGCGAAAGCUAGGGGAGCAAACGGGG